rnacentral:lncRNA from 1 species
GGGUGACGUGGUGUGGGCGUGCUAACUUCUUUCUUCCUUCACGUAUCUCAGCAUCGCCAGUUCAAAAUUGCAGUAGGAGGUUGAUGAAAAUUUGGAUUAUCCGUCCUUUUAAGUCACGCAAAAGUAUUAGUAUUUGGUCACUACUUUCUAGAUAUUUCAAUUUAAUACAUUCGGCACAUUAUCCAGAUCGCUAGUUUCUU